UGGGGAAUUGUUCGCAAUGGGCGCAAGCCUGACGACGCAACGCCGCGUGGAGGAUGAAGACCUUCGGGUCGUAAACUCCUUUCGAUCGAGACGAACGGCUUCCGGGUGAACAAUCCGGGAGAGUGACGGUACCGAGAGAAGAAGCCCCGGCUAACUCCGUGCCAGCAGCCGCGGUAAUACGGGGGGGGCAAGCGUUGUUCGGAAUUACUGGGCGUAAAGGGCUCGUAGGUGGCCAACUAAGUCAGACGUGAAAUCCCCCGGCUUAACCGGGGAACUGCGUCUGAUACUGGAUGGCUCGAGUUUGGGAGAGGGACGCGGAAUUCCAGGUGUAGCGGUGAAAUGCGUAGAUAUCUGGAGGAACACCGGUGGCGAAGGCGGCGUCCUGGACCAACACUGACACUGAGGAGCGAAAGCCAGGGGAGCAAACGGGAUUAGAUACCCCCGUAGUCC
rnacentral:rRNA from 1 species